rnacentral:tRNA from 1 species
ACCUGGGUGGCUCAGUCAGUUAAGCGUCUGACUUCAGCUCAGGUCAUGAUCUCACAGUCUUGGGUUUGAGCCCCACCUCGGGCU